rnacentral:rRNA from 1 species
UGGGGAAUUUUCCGCAAUGGGCGAAAGCCUGACGGAGCAAUACCGCGUGAGGGAUGACGGCCUAUGGGUUGUAAACCUCUUUUUUCAGGGAGGAAUCAAUGACGUGUACCUGAAGAAUAAGCAUCGGCUAACUCCGUGCCAGCAGCCGCGGUAAGACGGAGGAUGCAAGUGUUAUCCGGAAUCACUGGGCGUAAAGCGUCUGUAGGUGGUCCAAUAAGUCAACUGUUAAAUCUUGAGGCUCAACCUCAAAAUCGCAGUCGAAACUAUUAGACUAGAGUAUAGUAGGGGUAAAGGGAAUUUCCAGUGGAGCGGUGAAAUGCGUAGAUAUUGGAAGGAACACCGAUGGCGAAGGCACUUUACUGGGCUAUUACUAACACUCAGAGACGAAAGCUAGGGUAGCAAAUG